GCUGGGCAUGGUGGCGGGCGCCUGUAAUCUCAGCUACUUAGGAGGCUGAGGCAGGAGAAUUGCUUGAACCCAGGAGGUGGAGGUUGCAGUGAGCUGAGAUCAAGCCACUGCGCUCCAGUCUGGGUGACAAAGCAAGACUCUGUCUCAA
rnacentral:SRP_RNA from 1 species